CUAGCCUCUGGGGGAAGAGGAAGGGGUGCGCAUUGUCAUGGGGGCUCAUGUUCGCGGCCCACGCGUGGGAUCACAACGGCCGCUAGAGAGCAUCAGCAGCCAUGUACUUGGGGUCCCUGGAGGCUGUCAGCCUUGCAACCCCAAAAGAACGUGAGUGGGUGCCUGGUAAGAGGCGCCGGUGUGCACUAUCAGGACUCUCAGACACCGACCGGCCAUUCUCAGUCCUCCAGGCCCUGUGCCCUUGAGGGAAGGAGGGCCUCCGCAGCAAAAGUCAGCCUCUGCAUUUUUUCCUGGGCCCCUCGCUCCUAAGCCUCUUCCUGGCAGCAAACCCCAUCCCUCUGCUUCAAAGCUUUUACUGACAAGCCAAGAAGAUCUGGGUUUGGUUCCUGGAACGGACAUGGUGGCUCCCCACAAUCUGUCCCUCCAAUUCCACGCAGUCUUACACCUGCUUUUGGCCUUGGCAGACAUCAGGCAACCAUGAGACGCAAUACGUACAUGCAGGCUCAAGAUCUCCAUGAGAAGGCACGCAGGAUCUUCCCCUGGAGGGCUGGUGUGAUUCUGGUAUGUGCUAAAUACCAGCAGCUCGCAUUUGAUGCAUGACAAGCUGAAGGAACGAAGUAAAUCCCCGUGGACAACUGAGGCAGAGGAACAUGGUGACAGAAGGGAUGGUCUUCUUGUCACACCGUCGUCAGAAAGAUCUGGAAUGCCUCCCUGAUGUUCCCUGGAGCCUGUCUCGUUUAAUUCUCCCAGUAG